AUAAAGCCCCUCUCUAUAAAUUUCUGGAACAUUCCUCCACCUCUCCAGAUCAGAUGAAAAGUUUAAAAUUCUGCAAUUUAGAGAGAAAAGUGUUGAAAAAAAAUCUUUGCAGUAGACUUAGUUCUCAGGAUUUCUUAGCCUGGAGGAAACUGGCUUCAGGGUAACCCACUAAUUGUCUGAAUGUAUACAAAGAUGGCUCUAUGGAAGGAGGUAACCAGCUAUUUUGCACAUUCACAGAGACAAGAACAAAGGGAGCCUAGUUAAAUUGCCACAGGAGGGAUUUAGAGGGAUUGAUAAGAGGAGAACUUUUGCUACUGAAACAGAUGAAAGAGCAAGGACUGUUAAAAGCCUUAAAGAAAAAAACAACACACUCUUUGUAUUGACUGGCAUUAGUUAUUCUUGAAGGGAGGAAAAUUAGUUGAGACCUUUUCACUAUACAGUGACAGAAAUCCAACAACUAGAUCCUUUUUAAAAGAUGAAAUCAUUGGUUCAUAGAAACAAAAGUCCAAAGGGUAGACUCCAGGCAUUGCUGGAUUCAGGGGUUUGAAAGGUAAGAUGGGUACUCAGUCUUUUUCUAUCUCCACUCUGCUCGACUUUAUGCUCUGAAAGAAUUUCUUCAUGUGACAGCAAGAUGGCUGCAGGCAGCUUUGAGCUUACUCUGCCAUUACAGCUGUUAGUUUUGUUUUGUUUGUUUGUUUGUUUUUCCCAAUAGCUACAUCAGUAAAGGAUUCUCAUUAGUCUUAAUUCUGCCCUUGGAUCACUCACUGGUUCCAGAAUAACUGAAUCAGUCAGACUGUGUCGUGUGCCAUCCUCACGGAAGAGUCAGUGAGACCCCUCAUUGGCAGAACCCACAGAUCAUCUGGAGUACAGGAAAGAGAGUUCUGAAAGGAAAAGAGGCAGGAUGGACAGAGAUACAGUAUGGUUACCGGAGAGAAACACUUGGGAAGAAUUCUUCUUGUUCUGCAAUCACAGGAUGACAACUGUGCAGCAAGAUUUUAACAGACUAGCCUGAUGCUCCAACCCCAAAGCUAAACACUAAUUUUUUUUUUUUUUUUUGUGGCUAAACUUUAAGUUUGAAGUAUCUUUCAUUAUUUUUGUGUCCUGGUUUUGGAUUUGUGGUGGAGGGGGGGGGUGUUUGAAGGGGGUGGCUGGAGGUAAAAUAAUAAGGUCCUGAUAAACUAGUUAGAAUAGGGAGCCAUGUAACUUUUCCCAAUCUUUGGGUCACUAUUAAUCAAUUUGAACUUGAUUUGGCUUGAGUCCAUUGACCAUGACCUUCCACCUGUCACCAUGUCACAGGGGUUGGAUAACUGCCCAUCUGGGACCCUGACCCUCUUUCUCAGAGUCUGGACUGCAAACUUUCCCUGACUCCAGAAUAGAGAGUCCAAGGCUUCCAAGGCCAGAAGCCCAAAGAGGAUUGAUAGUGACCUUGCUCCCAGUAGAAAAUUCAUCUCAGGAUUUCCCUUCGUGGCUCACCAGAAACAAAUCUGAUUAGCAUCCAUGAGGAUGCAGGUUUGACCCCUGGCUUCACUCAGUGGGUUAAGGGCCUGGCAUUGCCAUGAGCUGUGGUGUAGGUUACAGACUCAGUUUGGAUCCUGAGUUUCUGUGGCUGUGGUAUAGGCAGGCAACUGUAGCGCUGAUUUGAUCCUGAGAACCUCUAUAUGCCAUGGGUGCAGCCCUAAAAUGACAAAAAAAAAAAAA
rnacentral:lncRNA from 1 species